GGAGAGCCGCCCAGCAGCCGGAGUGGGAGGGACGCAAUGGCAGGGCAUCUAGAGGCUUGGCUGGCUGCCCGUGGAGAGGGGCCCGGGAGGCCAAGCCCAGGCUUGGGGACACCCACCAUCGGUCCUCGCUGGGGUACGACCCCCACUGCACCCCACUAUCGAAUCCCUGGAACCCCGCUUACUUGCAGCCCAGCUCUGCCUGAUGCCUGGCUAAUGAUCGCAGGACAUUCGCUGUUCUCGUGCUCGACCUUUGACCUCCAGAGCUGCACCAGGAGCAGUGGUGCGUCUGGACGCAGUAUGCUCUGAUUUCGCCUGUUCGGGAUUUGCCGAGCUUGUGGAGAUUGUGCAGAGAGUGCUGGCUCCACACCGUGUCUACUGGGAGUCCUGUCCCUGCUGGCCCAGGACACAACUUUGUCCUGCCACUUGGUGUGACCGGCCUUGUGUUGACGGGGACGCCUCUGGACCCCGGGAGGGAACAGCAGCAGCUGGCGGGUGCCGGCCACAAACCAGGUGGUUUUGGGGUUCCUCUCUGUUCCUCCGUACUUUCCAGAUUCCCCACAAAGUGCCUCAGAAGCACGGCGCGCAUCCUGACGGCAUGGGAAGGUGGGCUUUGAAGCCGCCCCGGCUGUGCUCGAGAUGCCAUCUCACGGGCGCAGAUGCGCCUCACACCCCGACCGGGUUCUGGCUCUGAGCGCUCUCGUCCUUUUCCCGGCCCGUGCGCGGGCGUGUGGGUGCCGGGCGAGGUUUCCCGAGCCCUGACGGAACGGCCAGGCGUCGGUCCGCUCCCAGGACCCUCCCUAGAACCUUACAAGACAGGUGCUGCUGCCCGGGCCCUGUGCUGGCCGAGCUCCCGAGGCCCGGAGCCCCCCCAGCCAGGCUGGGCCUGCCUGCCUUUGAGCCUCCUGCACAAAGGAAAGUUUGAUUUAUGUAUUUAUUAGUCUUUUUAGGGCUGCGCCUGUGGCAUUCGGAAGUUCCCAGGCUGGGGGUCGAAUCAGAGCGCGGCCGAGGCCUACGCCACAGCCCCAGCACCGCCUUCACCCACUGAGCAAGGCUGGGAUUGAACCCGCAUCCUCAUGGAGACUCGUCGAGGUCUUAACCCGCUGACCCACGACAGGAGCGCCAAGGAAAGGUUUUAAAUAAGACUGAAGCUUGAAUAAGACUGGAGACUCUAGGGGGUAGUCUCAUUUCCACUUGCUCUGAUGAGCAGAAAGAUGGUACCAGGACAAGAGCCUCGGUGUGGUCGGGAGAGGAACUGAAACGCCUGCGCCCACCCCCACGCCCCACUGGUCCCCGAGGAAGGCGGUGGCACCACGGCACGUGGGCUGUGCUCUCCUGACCCUGGACUUGUGAGGCUUGCGUGCGUUCACGGCAGCACAGAUGCACUUGUAUUCGCGCGCGUGUGUCUGUGUGUCUGUGUCUUCUCAGAGAGGUGCUGUCUUUUGCAGAUACCCUUCUCUCAGGCGGCGGCCUGUCAUGGGGCCCAGAAGACAGGUGACCGAGGUGACAGGGGAUGGUCUGGGCCAGCAGCCCUCUUGCUGGCCUCUUGGCAUGAGCCGGCCGUGCUUGUCUAGAGGCGGUGCCCAGGGGGCUCUGUCCAGAGUCCCCAAGACAGGCCAAGUGCGAACCAGCACCCCUGCCUCCCCUGGAGAAAUUCUGGGGCCACAGGUGCCAGCCAGGAUGCCAGGACCGCCGGGGGAAGGAGGCCCGCUGGCCCUGGUGCCCGAGGUCAAGAGCCGACAGAUGCCUUCUGCUUUGCCACCAAGUAGCCUCUGCUCGAGGACCUUCGGGCCUGGAAUGGGGUUGGCCCACUUCCUCGCUAUGCCCGGCUGGCAGUGGUGGAAUGUUCUCCUGGAAGCGAAUCUCCUGUGCUGGGUGUGGAGUUUCCCCGCUGGGCGGCUUGGAGAAAGUAAACACGGGGGGUGGGGGUGGGGGGGGAGCGGCUGGCCCGGAGGAAACGGCCCACGGGCGGCCUGGCCGGGGCUUCCCACGGCGCCUGCGGCCUCUCCCAAGACCCGUACUUUCUCCAAGUGCAUCCGCAGGGACCUGAAUUUGGGGUCUGUCCAGCCAGCAUGUUUGGGGAGGGGGUGGGUUCUGGAACGGGCGGUGCUUGCCCCCCUCUGAGAGUGACUCAUGCCGUGAAGCGUUAACCGGUCACUGCCUAGGGCUGGGCCCUGGACCACAAUGAAAAUAACAAAGUAAAGGGGGGACGCACAGGCACUAUCGGCUCGGCUCAGUCCUCGGUUGGAAGCCCCGACUGGUGGGGCUACAGCCUGGCCGGUGGGGCAUGUCCUGGGCUGGAGCACAGGCCCCUCCCUGUGGGCACAACUCCGUCCCUGGCGGUUGCAGGCCCCGGAGCCCUGUCUUCUGGCCGCUGGGCAGGGAUGGCUCUCUGGUCCGCAGGGCGUCUUAGGUCCUUUCCUGGUGGCCUUGGCCUCCCAGCCAGCACCAGCCAACGACUCCAGCCAGGAAGACUCCCCUCCGGAAGGGCUUUGCCCGAGGCCGCCCCACCCUGUCCCGGCGGAAGGGCAGUGGGUUAGUGACGGAAACACAGACUCAGAUCCCGGCCGAGAGCUCCCCCGUCGCGGGAGCGGCGUGGGGCUGAGCCCCCCGUCUCCUCGCUGACCCAGUGCUGGGGUCGGCUUCUGUCCCUGCCACCUGCGUCCCAGCCACCCCAGGCCUUCUCGGGUGUGACUGUUCCUGAGCCACCUCAUGGGAGCUGGGGUCAUAGUCCUGUGGUGCCCAGGCUGCUGGCCACACCCGUGAGCUGUCUAGAGCUCGCACCCAUGUCGCCCCUCCUGGCAGACACUCUCCAACCCCUCCCUCGACCUGAGGCCGGUCGUCGCCCCCGCUGAGCCUAAUGCCCUGUGGGAAUACGAUUCUGCCCACCAGCUGCCGUGCUCAGGAUGCUAUGCGGGUGUGCACGUGCGUACAGCUGCUUCUGUUAGUGUCUGUUGUGUGCGCACGUGUGAGUGUGUGGGUAUCUGUGUCUGUCUGCUUGUGUCUGUGUCUCCAAGUGUGUGCCUGUGUGCACUGCAGCCUGUGCCUGAGUCUCUCACAGACCCCAUGGGUGGGGCCUCCAGCCCUGGCGACACUGCAGGCAGGAAUUAGCGGGUAAGCUGGAGCCUGCAAGGACCCUUUGGGGAGGGCAGUGCCCCUGGGCUUCCAGGAGCUUGGGCUGCCCUGGGCUCCGUGGCAGGUCCCGGGG
ensembl:lncRNA